rnacentral:misc_RNA from 1 species
GAUGAAGAACGUAGCGAAAUGCGAUAAGUAAUGCGAAUUGCAGAAUCCGUGAAUCAUCGAAUCUUUGAACGCACAUUGCGCCCGCCAGUAUUCUGGCGGGCAUGCCUGUUCGAGCGUCAUUUCAACCCUCAAGCCCCCGGGCUUGGUGUUGGGGAUCGGCGUGCCCUCGCGGCGCGCCGUCCCCUAAAUCUAGUGGCGGUCUCGCUGUAGCUUCCUCUGCGUAGUAGCAACACUCGCACUGGAUCGCAGCGCGGCCACGCCGUUAAACCCCCCACUUCUGAAAGUUUGACCUCGGAUCAGGUAGGAAUACCCGCUGAACUUAAGCAUAUCAAUAAGCGGAGGA